AUUGAACGCUGGCGGCAGGCUUAACACAUGCAAGUCGAGCGGAGUGAUGGUGCUUGCACUAUCACUUAGCGGCGGACGGGUGAGUAAUGCUUAGGAAUCUGCCAUUUAGUGGGGGACAACAUUCCGAAAGGAAUGCUAAUACCGCAUACGUCCUACGGGAGAAAGCAGGGGAUCUUCGGACCUUGCGCUAAAUGAUGAGCCUAAGUCGGAUUAGCUAGUUGGUGGGGUAAAGGCCUACCAAGGCGACGAUCUGUAGCGGGUCUGAGAGGAUGAUCCGCCACACUGGGACGGAGACACGGCCCAGACUCCUACGGGAGGCAGCAGUGGGGAAUAUUGGACAAUGGGCGGAAGCCUGAUCCAGCCAUGCCGCGUGUGUGAAGAAGGCCUUUUGGUUGUAAAGCACUUUAAGCGAGGAGGAGGCUCUUCUAGUUAAUACCUGGGAUGAGUGGACGUUACUCGCAGAAUAAGCACCGGCUAACUCUGUGCCAGCAGCCGCCGUAAAAC
rnacentral:rRNA from 1 species